rnacentral:lncRNA from 1 species
GAAGUCAUUGAGUGAGGAGGUAAAUAUGUUUUAGAUUUGAACUCUACACUUCUCUACUCUGGGUUCGAAUUUUGAAAUUCUCGAGCAAUUUUGUAAGUUAUGCAUACUUCUAGUUCUUUUCUUUGGAGAACGGGGUGUUGCAGUUGAUUGAUUCUUGUAGUCCGACUUAAUUCAAUUGCUUCUUGCACUGUAGUUAUUGAAUUCGCGGGGGGAUUCUGAGUUCUUGAUUGCUCCGGGUCCGAAUUGUUAUGACAGUUUUCUUAGGUGGUAAGCUUUGCUUAAUUGAAUAUUAAGCAUGGUGGAUGCUCACAAUGAAAUCAUGUCUUGUAUUCCUGUUAGGGAUGUCAAUGCAGCCCGAAACCCGUGGGCCGGCCCGAAUAACCCGACAAAAUUAAAGGGUUAGGGUUGAAAAAUCGCAACCCGAAAAAACCUCCAGCCCGAUUAGCCCGCACCCGAAUAACCCGGAACCCGAUAGAGCUAGCCCGAAAACCCGAUGGGCUGGCCCGGUGGGCUGACGGAAUUGUGACUAAUGCAUCCAGUUACAACUUCUGCUAUGUUUAGAUCUAUGGUAUUUGCUUAAAUAUAUAUAUGUAGCCUCAUUAAAAAUAGUGAAAUUAAUUAGUUAGAAUAUAUAUGUGUGUGUGUGCGCAAUCUCAUUAAAAAAAGUGAAAUUAAUUACGGAUUUUUGUAGAAAUUGAUUAUUAGUAUCUCAUUAGUUAGAAAUUAAUUAUUAGUAUCUCAUUUUAAAGUGAUACCAAUUUUUUUUUAUGUCAAUGAGACGUGCAUGAAAAAUCCACUAAUUAUUCAGUAAUAAUCCAGAUUGAUUCUAGUGCAUUGAUACAUGUUAAAUUUUACUAUCUCAUUUUAAUAUAAUUAUGUUUAUGUAAUCUUGAAUAUCUUAUAUUUUUGCAUUUCAUGCUUUGCUAUAUAAUUUAUAUCUUUAAUAUCUAUGUAUAUUUAAUACAUUAUACAUUAGAUCAUUAGGAAUAAUAAAAUACAAAUGAUAAUUUUAUUUUUACGCCUUUAACCUGAUUAGCCCGAUGGGCUAGCCCGAAACCCGAAAGUUUAGGGUUAGGGUUGAAGAUUUACAACCCGAAAAAUCUCCAACCCGAUUAGCCCGCACCCGACUAACCCGGAACCCGAUAGGGCUAGCCCGAAAACCCGGUUGGCUGGCCCGAUUGACAUCCCUAAUUCCUGUGCUCUAAGACAUAAAUUUGAAACUAAUUAUUAAUAUACUGAAAAGUAAAUGCCUUAUUAAUAUACUUUUAGGUCUUCUGCUAUUAUCAUUAUUAUGCCCCAUUUUCCUUUUCACUCCCCAAUAUAGCAAUGCUAUGUAUCUAUUGCAGGUUGUCUUUGUGGAGUUGUGCUGUAGUCGUGUUGAGAUUCUCGCGCUUUCAAAACAUCGAGGUUGGCCUGUAUCUGUAUUUUUUUUCUCUCUGUAGAAUUAAUUUAGUUUAGUGUUCUUGAUUAGUCAGAAAUAUAUCAUGAAAUGAUAACUUUAGAACCACGUAGUCUGCUUUUGCUUGGUUUCUUGAAGAUGUACAUGUAUAGGACCCAAGCUUUAUCUGAAGGUGAAAGAAGUCAGAGACCCUUUACUCUCUAAUGAAUUUAAUGAUUGAUUUGAGAAGAUCAUUAUCACAAUGAAUUCUUGUAAACUUUGUUUCACGUCCUAUAAGCCAGGUGAUACUGAAAUUGAUACUCCGUGAGAUCGAAAGCUAGACUUGAAUAGAAAGCAUCUUGUUUUCUUGUUGCUCAAUGGACUUUGAGAAUUAACCUAACCACAAGAGGUCAUAUUUCACUUUCAGAACAUCAAAUAAUGAUCUCGACUUGUUAUGAUUUUUACCUUGGACCAAAAAUCAUAUGUUUGUUCUUGCAUCAAUUUUGGGUACUUUUAGUGCUUAGUAAUAUUUCCUAAAAAAUGUGAAAUGGAGAAGUUUUUAGUGCUUAGUAACUUGAUAGGUUUUGUCCAUUUUACCAAUCACUUUGAUAUGCAUUUUAAGUGUUUAUCAUGAUGCUUUACAUUGUGAUUCUUGGUUGGCUCUUUGUAUGAUUUUGUGGCAGGUUUGUGGUGGAUUAAAUGAGUCGUACGUUGAGCUGAAGAGGCUUGUGAAUUCACAAGAAAAGUUGUACCAGAUGGCUAGCUAGUUGCAUAUUUAAUAUGUUUAGUUUUUUUGUAAGGCAUAAUAGCAUAGAUAGAGCAGUUGUUGAAUUUUGACUAUAUUCAAAUCUUGUAUGAAUUCUUUUUUAUGAUAAUAAUAUAAAAUUAAAUAUUUUGGAUGAUAU